GCGUCCUUCGGGGGAGCGACGGGCCCGGCGGAGACGCGGCCGCCCCUUCGGAGGAGACCGGCACCCAGCGCCGCUCGGCUGCGACCUGCGCCCGGCACCGCGGGCACCUUCCCGCUCCAGACCUGACUGGAAGUUCACAGACUGGGAUAUAGAGGGAAGACGCAGGACAUCUCUGUGCAAGCAAGGAGAGAGCUUGUGCGACAUUCUGCAGCAAAGAUAAGAAACUCCCCAUUCGGCAUGAGCAGCGCAGGAGAGGAAGGUGGAGGGGGCUCCUUCUUGGCUAACCUCCCCUUUCCAGUUCCCCCGGUCUCCUCCCCUCUCCCCGGGACCAUCCGCCCUGCAUGGAGUCCUCAACGAGUGCACGCGGAAGACAAAAAAGAGCGGCUGAGAAAGGCAGCCCCCGUGAACACAAAAUCUGCCACGCCAGGCCACGUUUGCUGCCGUUUGUAGGCUGCUAGGUGCCAGGAAGCCAUUUUGAUGGAAUCAAGUGCUGUUUGUAAGAUGGCCGCAUUGGCAUGAGAUUCCUGUCAUUGGAGAAGGUAAAGAACAUGGGACACAUUGAUUUCACCAGAGCCAAAACUGCGCUUUGCAUCUGUCAGUUUACCAGCAACUCACUCUCUUGCUAAGAGCUCAAAGAAGAGGCUGCUUUCCACAACGGGCCUUGAGGGCUUCUGGAUUGCCUGUACAACCCUUGUGGGUUUCAGAGGGUGAGGGCUGGGGGGCAGCGAGCACCUUGGUUUUGUGUGCGUUGCAGAAGGUCUUUCCUGGGAUCCUUUUGUGCCUACUUUUCCUGCUGCUUGCACAGAAACCCCUGGUUGUAUCCCACCCCUCACCUCUCUCCUACUACAGGGGAGUAUUAUUAUUAUUGAGACAACAUCCUUGGACCCUAUGUGCAUCUGAUUUAUUUUGCUCUGUUGGCUGAUAGCCAGUUUGCUAAUUAAUGCAGGAGCCAAUGCUACCUUCUGCCUAGGUUUUUAAACUCUCUCCGGUCACAAGAGUCCUCCUCUUGGCAGAAUAAGCUGCAGAUGAAAUGUAUGAAGCAGCAAACAUCGCAGGCACACCGUAUUUUGAGGAAAAGACUGCAUGCCCCCUAGGUUACUUUGUUUUGAAAAUAGAUGUAUUCACCACAAGCUGGUUGUUUCAAUGUAGGCAGACACCCCAGCUCCUGUACAGCAGUCUUGGUAUCAAAAAGGCCUUUAUGCCUGUAAGAGAAACGUAGCAGCUGGAAUUCCCUCCCUUCAAGUGUUUCAAGCAAAACUGUUAAAAUAAAGGCUUCCCUUCCCAACAUGA